CCUACGGGAGGCAGCAGUGGGGAAUAUUGGGCAAUGGGCGCAAGCCUGACCCAGCAACGCCGCGUGAAGGAAGAAGGCCCUCGGGUUGUAAACCUCUUUUGUCAGGGACGAAACAAACGACGGUACCUGACGAAUAAGCGACGGCUAACUACGCGCCAGCAGCCGCGGUAAUACGUAGGCGGCAAGCGUUAUCCGGAUUUACGGGGUGUAAAGGGGGUGUAGGCGGGGGAGCAAGUCAGAAGUGAAAUUCCAGGGGCCAACCCCGGGACAGCAUUUGAAACUGUUUGUCUUGAGUGAUGGAGAGGCAGGCGGAAGUCCGUGUGUAGCGGUGAAAUGCGUAGAUAUACGGAGGAACACCAGUGGCGAAGGCGGCCUGCUGGACAUUAACUGACGCUGAGGCGCGAAAGCGUGGGGAGCAAACAGGAUUAGAUACCCCAGUAGUC
rnacentral:rRNA from 1 species